UCCCUGGUGGCUCAGUGGUAAAGAAUCUGCCUGCAAUGCAGGAGACGCAGGUUCAAUCCCUGGGUCGGGAA
rnacentral:tRNA from 1 species